rnacentral:lncRNA from 1 species
UCUUGGCAUUCUAACCCAGUUACCGUUUCUAUAAAAACAUCUUAAUCGGUGAAGUAGAUUUUUAUUAAUUAUGCUAAAUCUAUCUACUUUUAUUACUUCUUCUUCCGGUGGUAUUAGAAUAUCGUAGGCUUUCAUUAUUCUAGUUAUUAUACCACCAUAUGGGAGCAUCAUGUCUUUCUUAGAUAGUUCUAACAUGUUUUGUUGG